UAAAUUUUAUUUUUUUUAAAUAAUUAAUUUGGGAGGAUGACCUGUUAACUUGUUGGAAACCUAUAAAUGGGAAGAAUUGUUUGAAAUUGGUUAGUUUAGAGACCUAAUUGUUGGUUUUUUAGGUUCAGUGGCCUAAUUGCAUUAUCGUGUGCAGUUCGAUGGCCUAUUUGACCCUUAUUCCUAUUUGUUAUUGUAGGUGUGUUUUGAUGGAAAGGACAUAGAUUUUUGAGGUGUAAAUCCUUUAUCAAAUCUCUAUAUAUAUCAUGCAUUCUUAUAACAGUACUUUAUCAUUUCUGCAUCAAAAAACUGUUUGUUUUUCAAAUGCACUACUGGAAAGUAGAAUGAAGAAAUUAGAGAAGUCUAUUACUAUAGGUGCCAAGAGAAAACAAAAAGCUGAAGAUAAAGGUAUGUUUCCAGAUUAUUUGUUAACAAAUAAAUAUGUUAUCUGUUCAUAUUUUUCCUAGAUUAGUAGACUAAGCGUUGCUGAUUUGCAGCCUAUGAUAGGUUUUAAAAUUUGCCUUGCCCUCAAAAAGGUUAGGACAGAUUGUAACUUAGAUCUUGCACUUGAACAGGACAGUGUGAGCAAUAAAACAGGACGUGUUCAUCUUAUGAUGCUACCCAGUUGUUGUUCAAUGAACUAUACCAGAAAUUGAGAAUUUCAGGGAAAGUCUUUGUACUGAGCAGACUCCAUUGAGGAGUAUCAACUCAUAUUCAAGCCUGAUUUAUAGUCUAAUAGAUCUAGAUCUUACCUGUGGCAGAAUGGUUGUAUGUACCAUCUCUGAUCUAUAUGAGUGGAAAGAGUGUGGAGAUUAUUGGGUGCCUGCUAAGAUUGCUGACAUAGAAGGGGAUCCUUACUGCUCAUAUGUCUCUUGCAAGUCAAAAUGGUGCAAUAAAAAGCUUGUGCCUAAGGGUGGCCUAUACUGAUGUGAUAAGUGUAGCAGAAUUUGGGCUGAUGGUAUUUUGAGAUAUCGUUUGAAAGUGAGGGUCGUUGAUGUAAAUGGGGAUGCCCCAUUCUUGCUUUGAGAAAGGGAAUGUAUUGAUCUAAUUGGUUUGACAACAGUAGAAUUGAAAGGAUUAUAUCCAAGGGUAAAAAUCAUUUCACAAUCUACUUUUAAUAAUCUUUGAAUCUUAAUACUAAGAGUGAACUAAUGCAGACUA